rnacentral:rRNA from 1 species
CCACCCUUGUAGUGUUGAUGUUCUAACGUCGACCCCUUAUCGGGGUUGCGGACAGUGCCUGGUGGGUAGUUUGACUGGGGCGGUCUCCUCCCAAAGAGUAACGGAGGAGCACGAAGGUGGGCUAAUCACGGUUGGACAUCGUGAGGUUAGUGCAAUGGCAUAAGCCCGCUUGACUGCGAGAAUGACAAUUCGAGCAGGUGCGAAAGCAGGUCAUAGUGAUCCGGUGGUUCUGAAUGGAAGGGCCAUCGCUCAACGGAUAAAAGGUACUCCGGGGAUAACAGGCUGAUACCGCCCAAGAGUUCAUAUCGACGGCGGUGUUUGGCACCUCGAUGUCGGCUCAUCACAUCCUGGGGCUGAAGUCGGUCCCAAGGGUAUGGCUGUUCGCCAUUUAAAGUGGUACGCGAGCUGGGUUUAGAACGUCGUGAGACAGUUCGGUCCCUAUCUGCCGUGGGCGUUGGAAGAUUGAAGGGGGCUGCUCCUAGUACGAGAGGACCGGAGUGGACGAACCUCUGGUGUUCGGGUUGUGUCGCCAGACGCAUUGCCCGGUAGCUAAGUUCGGAAUCGAUAACCGCUGAAAGCAUCUAAGCGGGAAGCGAGCCCUGAGAUGAGUCUUCCCUGAUACUUUAAGUAUCCUAAAGGGUUGUCGGAGACUACGACGUUGAUAGGUCAGGUGUGUAAGUGCUGUGAGGCAUUGAGCUAACUGAUACUAAUUGCCCGUGAGGCUUAACCAUACAACACCCAAGGGGUUU